CACGUAGGGUGCGAGCGUUGUCCGGAAUUAUUGGGCGUAAAGAGCUCGUAGGCGGUGUGUCGCGUCGGCCGUGAAAACCUGCAGCUUAACUGUGGGCUUGCGGUCGAUACGGGCAUCACUGGAGUUCGGCAGGGGAGACUGGAAUUCCUGGUGUAGCGGUGAAAUGCGCAGAUAUCAGGAGGAACACCGGUGGCGAAGGCGGGGUCUCUGGGGCCGAUACUGACGCUGGAG
rnacentral:rRNA from 1 species